rnacentral:snRNA from 1 species
GUGCUCACUUCGGCAGCACAUACACUAAGAUACGAACGAUACAGAGAAGAUUAGCAUGGCCCCUGCGCAAGGAUGACGUGCAAAUUCAUGAAGCAUUCUAAAUUUUU